CUACGGGGCGCUGCAGUGGGGAAUCUUAGACAAUGGGCGCAAGCCUGAUCUAGCCAUGCCGCGUGAGUGACGAAGGCCUUAGGGUCGUAAAGCUCUUUCGCUGGGGAAGAUAAUGACGGUACCCAGUAAAGAAACCCCGGCUAACUCCGUGCCAGCAGCCGCGGUAAUACGGAGGGGGUUAGCGUUGUUCGGAAUUACAGGGCGUAAAGCGCGCGUAGGCGGAUCAGAAAGUUGGGGGUGAAAUCCCAGGGCUCAACCCUGGAACUGCCCUCAAAACUCCUGGUCUUGAGUUCGAGAGAGGUGAGUGGAAUUCCGAGUGUAGAGGUGAAGUUCGUAGAUAUUCGGAGGAACACCAGUGGCGAAGGCGGCUCACUGGCUCGAUACUGACGUUGAGGUGCGAAAGCGUGGGGAGCAAACAGGAUUAGAUACCCGGGUAGUC
rnacentral:rRNA from 1 species